rnacentral:lncRNA from 1 species
ACCACCACGAUAGUAUUUGGAAUUUCUUACCACCAAAAACAACAUCAAAGCCGUCCAUUCUAUGGGUCCGGUACUGCUCCCGUUUCAAACUGUUAGCUGGAGGAAUCAAACCAACCAGUUUCUUAGGUUUAAGGUAAAAGCGUCGCCUGUUAUAAUGUUGUUUACUUGUGGACAAUUAAUACAAUGUCACUGAUGUUUA